UCUGAAACUCACUAUCAAAAGAGAGGAAACUAUAGCCUCCCUUCAGGUGAUAUCAUUCUACACAGCAGCAUCUUCUCUACCAAGUCCAGGUGUUAUAUUUGUGAAGGAGGAUUUUGCAAAGGAACUCACAAGAUCUUAGAAAUUUUUUCUUUUGAUCUUAGAGACCAGUCCAACUCUUUAUUUUAUAAAUGAGAAAACCGUGAUACUCUAAGUACAGAAUCCUGAGCCAUAGCAACUUCAUGAUUUUCAAAGCAAGAGUGUAGAUUCUGAGUUAACAGACAGGUGGGGUUGGCUACAUGGGGUUGUGAUAGUCAGAGCAGGGAAAUAGAAAUCAUGGGUGAGGGCCAGCACGUAUUGUGGAGUCUGUGCCUCGCUGCCACCUUCUCACUUCCUUCUGAAUCUCUGUCCCUUGAGGUCUCAUCAUCCCCCUACAUUCCACUAUUCCUACAGAAAUCAGAGAAGGCUGUGCGAUCCUAGGCUUGGCAAGAGGAGGCAGGCAAUAGAACAUGAACUUUAUGGCAGCGUCUUACUGUUCACAGACUACAUUCACGACAGAUUGGGACUAUGUCACAUAAGAGAGCAGGAGACACCGUAUUUAGUGCAGACUGUGGAUUUUGAAUUGAGAGCCUCAGAGUCUUGGUACUGGAUAUUGGUCCCCCAGUGCAAAUGGAAACCCCAGUGUGGGAAUAAAGGCAGAAAGGGGUUUAUCAAAGUUAGAAGGAGUCAACGCUUGUUGGUUCGCUUGGAUUUCAGAGACAGGCAGCACUUUAAGAUUCCAUCCGUGGUUACAUCAGACUGAAAUAAUAGAGGUGUACAAGUGCAGCUGGGGGUGUUGAGCCAGGAACUGAUAGUUUUAAAAAGAAUCUCUUAACAGUGCAUUGUAAAUAGCAGUCUACACCUAACAUCCAUGGUGUUCUUAAUAAAGUUUUAGUUAGAUUCCAACAGUCAAAGAAUCAAAGACUUCUCACAAUCAUCUGGUUUGAUACUGUGUGUUAACAGUAGUCAGUCCAAUAUUGUGACAAAGACAUGAUCUAUGCUGUUGGCCAAAGCCAAAGUGAAUGCAAAACAAAAAUUAGUGUCCAUAUUUUUCAAACUGUAAUCAACACAUCAAUAAUUAUAUCGAGGGAGGCACCUCUGAACAGCUGAGUAGAAAAAUGGAAGUCUUUGGUUUUGAGUCCUGCUGAUAAAUAUCAUAAUUUGACUGCUGGUUUUUUUUUUUUUUUCACCUACCUUUCAGUUGAUCCUAAAUAUGGCUUUAACUCAUGUACUGUAUUUCUUAUAAAUAUUGUGAAAACCCUAAAAUUAUCAGUUGAUGUACUCACAGCUCUUGAGGUUUUGUUUCUUACAUUUUAUAUCUUAUUAUAACCCCUUGAACUUAUUCAUUGAAAAAGAUAUUUUUCAUAGUUAUGGUGAUUAUAAUUAAAAUAUGCCAUUGUAAUCAGUAUUCUGGAAUCACAGGAAGAAUAUCAAAAAGGAGAGAGUUACAAAGGCAAGAGCUAGGUUCUAGGCCUGACUCUGGUAUCAGCUCUUGAUUUUGGGCAAGUCUCUUUCUCUGAGCCUCAGAUCUCUCCUCUGAAAAAAUCAAUGGGCUGAGUAACAGAGAGUUAGCAAGUCACAGAUCUCUACAGGGUCCAGGUUGGCUCAGUGUGUAAUAGAAGCAUGCAGGCUAGAUUGACACUGGUAUGCUAGGUCUAAAGGGAAUAGAGUGACUGAGCCUCAGAUGUUACUCCUGCCUCUUAGUACUUAAAAGGACUGGAUGUUUAUAUAUGGAAUUUCAAUAUUUUAAAAGUUUACAGUUAACACAUGCAAAAAAAAUCUUGUAUGAGGUCAAGAAACUGUGAACUGAAGUUUGGCACUUACCAUCAGCCUCUACAUGGAGUAAAACAUGAGCCACUGCAGCUGCUGACCCACAGAACCCCCUGAGUGGAGCUCAGGGUGGAGACCAGGAGUGAGGCACUCUGUGCUCUGGGAAAACUGGAAGAACGGGCCUUCAGAUAGUCAGAUAUUUUCAGGAGAAGAUUUUUUUUGAGCCCACUUCUUGCAUCUCCUCAUAUCUAGUAAAACACAAAAAUCCAUCAAUGAUGACUGAUAUCUGUGACCAGUAGUCACCUUCAUGAGACCUGCAGAAAACUUCUAUAAAAUGUUUGCAUGGCUGCAAGCACCACCCCCCUCCAUAUCUUGAUAUUUCCCCUUUCCUCUUUGGGCUGCCAAAAUAAAUACUAAAUACUGCCCUCUGAGCUGAAGUUAGUGGGCAAAAAAAAAGAUGUCAUGGUCACCUGCAAGAACAGCCACUCCCAAGGGUGGGCCAGUGAUCCGUGAGGGAACUCAGGAAAGCGUAUUGAAGGAGUGAUUCCAGUAAGCCCAGAUCUUUAUCACAUCUGUUCCCAUAGAAAUGGUUUUCUGGGUACAUCUUUGUAAAUCUGGUCAUCUAUAAAUCUUUUGUUCCUACAACCUCUGCAUGGUUGCAAAAACUCAUAUAUCCUAGCUUCCCUCCUCACCUCCUCUGAAUGGUUUCUCAGGGUUACCUGAGAUGUUGUCUCCUGGGCUCAAGUCCUAAUUUCAUCCCAAAUAAAACUUAACUCUCAACUUUCAGGUUGUAUUUUUUUUUUUUUUUUUUUUAAAUCAGCAAAACCGUAUCUGAGUUUGGCCUGUGAACUGACUUUUUUUUGACCUUUGGAUAAAGAGCAUUUAAAAUUUUUUCGGAUUGUCAAAUGUCAUGAAGGAAAAACAGAUCAUGUUGUCUUUCAAGUGCCAUGAUGCCUACUUUUGUUGUAGACAAUGGUGAUGUGGAGACUAAAAAGAGUGGUUAGUGGUCUCCCGAGGAAAACUUGGUUGUUUCCAUUGGUUGGCCCUUUGAUCCAUCCUCCUCCUUGUGUUUUUGCCUCCUGUCUGGGUCUGUAACGCUCAUCCUCCCUAUAGGGUCUACACAGAAGGUGGUCUUACAGGGUCAGGUGAACCAUGUGGUCUAGCAAGAAUUUCUUUAGCUGUCCACUUACUGAGUCUUCUUUUUAUAAGGGACGUAAGACCAUUUUCAACAAGUUGGAAUACUCAAAAGACUGUAACAGUAUAAUGGAUGAAUUAGGAACAAAUAAAGUAGUUUUUCAAACCUAGGUUGUUUUUUCAGUUUAAUAAGCAGAAUUGAGUCUGCGACAUUCUACAGUAAGCAUUGUUUAAUCAUUAACACCAGGUUUCAUGCAAAUUGCCUAUAAUGCUGUGUGGAGCUGAGUGAAUUAAUUAUAUACGGAGAGGAAGUUCUAAAUAGCUGGGAAGAAACUUUCAAGUUCUCGGUUCCCUUUUGGGUCCUGCUUCCCAAGUAAUACCAUAAUUUAGCUGGUACAAUUUUUUCCCUACUUGGAUGGCACCUUAAACUUUACUGCCUCAAAGCCCCGCAGGAUAAACUCCAUUGAUUCUCUUGAAUGCAGGCUGACAGCGGAUUUCGAGGUCAUCAACUGGUAACACUGAAGUUGGAACAUAUGUCUUUUGUUAGCAUGAGAAUUCUGCAGGCACUGAAUAUUGUCUAAAUAAGCGCAUAUGUGCUUUUAGAGCAUGUCAUUCAUGUCUUUAUCUUGGGCAAACAGAUGAACUGCACCCAUUCUUAACCCAAUUCUUCCAUUACUGCUGUCAUCAGAAUCUCUGGAAAGAAGUGAUUUUAACUGUCUCAGUCUUUAAAAUCACCUCUGAACUUUGAAAGAAUUUUCUUCUUUAGGCUACCUUUCCCCAUUCCAUGUUUUAUAAUACUGCAAGUGAAACAGUUUGGCACACUGGUGGCAAAGUGGUGAUUUGUUGUACUGAAUGACAUUUAGUUUAAGACAUAUACAGGGAGUUCCUGUCAUAGCUCAGUGGUAACAAAACUGACUAGUAUCCAUAAGGAUGCAUGUUCGAUCCCUGGCCUUGCUCAGUGGGUUAAGGAUCAGGUGUUGCUGCAUGCUGUGGUACAGGUUGCAUAUGUCGCUUGGAUCCCACUUUGCUGUGGUUGUAGUGUAGGCUGGCAGCUACAGUUCCAAUUUGACCCCUAGCCUGGGAACUUCCAUAUGCCACAGGUGUGGCCCCCCAAAAGGAUAGCAACAGCAACAACAAAAAGACACAAACAUACACACAAUUUUGAGGUAGAAAGGGAGAGAAGAGAAAAAGCUUGGCUCACAGCAGGCUUUGUGUCUAAGCUGAAUAACAUCCAACCCUGCUGAGGUCUCUUAUCUUAAUGACUUUGCUAAGGAAGUUGUCUUGUCAAAUCUCUUUAAAAGCUUUUGCUUUAUAUGAAUAAUUUACCAGCAGAGGCAAUUUGGGAACAUUCUAAUGAGAUUAAAAAAAAAAAAAAAAAAAAAAGCUCAGUGAUAAGGAGCAAGCUUGAAAGAGUUAAAUAUAAAAAAUAGAAAAUUUCAUAGGAUUCUGAGGGGUCAGUAGAUGUAUUUCUCUGGUUUUAAGGAGAAGCCUCCUGAAAAUGUCUAUUUAGAGGAAGAGCCCUUUUCAAAAGACAGAGAUUCAUGGAAGGAAAGCCAUGUUUCCAUAGUGAGUUAGGUUAUCUUUUUAAAAACACUCGCCAAUUAGAAAAGUAUUAUGUACAUUUUCAUAACUCUGUUUGUAAGACUCUGGUGUAGUUUGAGAAUAUAUAGACAUAGUUCAUAUAUAUCCUAGUGUUGCCAAAACCCAGCUUCUGUCCACCAGUGCCAAACAGAAAUAUGGCGACAGAGUUUUGGCUGAAGGAGAGAAAAAUAGCUUUAUUGCUUUGCCAGGCAAAGGAGGCCACAGCAGACUCAUGCCCCAAAGUCUGUGGGAGAGACUUUGGGAGAGAAUAGGAAGUGGUUUUAUAGUUUGGAAGCAGAAAAUAGGGCCACAGAUUAGGAUCAGCGUAGAUGGAAGCUUUCUUUCACCUUCAGAGUUGGUGUUUAGAGGCCCCAGGACUGGUUCUAGGGGUCCUGCUCUCUGGGUUUCAUGUGUUGGAGGUUUUAGUUCUGCAGAAGAACUCAAAGAUAUUAUUAUGUAUUUUGCUUGAAGAGGAACCAGGACCCUGCCCCAAGGCUGCACAUUUGUCUCUCCACUCUCCUCCCUGGUCUCUGCAUCCCUUCCCUUUCCUGAUUAGCAACAGUUUGAACCUGCCCUUUGGAACACAGGAAAGGUCAUGGAGGCUCAAGCUUAUUUUCUAAAAAUAAGAAAUGGGAGAUAUAGAAAGGUUUGUGCACAGGAGCCCCACAGAGCCAUUCUGGGUUUCACUAGGACUCUAUUGGCCACUGGGGCUGUCAUCAUUUGAUGGUCAUAUCUUUGCCAGACAGUGAUGUCAUGUGCUUGAUGAGGCACUAGUAUAGUUUUCCUUUGGUCAUGUCAUUAUAAUCUAAAAAAAAAAAAAAAA
rnacentral:lncRNA from 1 species